GACGAACGCUGGCGGCGUGCCUAAUACAUGCAAGUUGAGCGCUGAAGGUUGGUACUUGUACCAACUGGAUGAGCAGCGAACGGGUGAGUAACGCGUGGGGAAUCUGCCUUUGAGCGGGGGACAACAUUUGGAAACGAAUGCUAAUACCGCAUAAAAACUUUAAACACAAGUUUUAAGUUUGAAAGAUGCAAUUGCAUCACUCAAAGAUGAUCCCGCGUUGUAUUAGCUAGUUGGUGAGGUAAAGGCUCACCAAGGCGAUGAUACAUAGCCGACCUGAGAGGGGGAUCGGCCACAUUGGGACGGGGACACGGCCCAAACGCCUACGGGAGGCAGCAGUAGGGAAUCGUCGGCAAUGGACGAAAGUCUGACCGAGCAACGCCGAGUGAGUGAAGAAGGUUUUCGGAUCGUAAAAAUCUGUUGGUAGAGAAGAACGUUGGUGAGAGUGGAAAGCUCAUCAAGUGACGGUAACUACCCAGAAAGGGACGGCUAACUACGUG
rnacentral:rRNA from 1 species